rnacentral:rRNA from 1 species
GACGAACGCUGGCGGCGUGCUUAACACAUGCAAGUCGAACGAAGUGGCGAACGGGUGAGUAACGCGUACUCAACCUGCCCUUCAGAGGGGGACCACAGUUGGAAACGACUGCUAAUACCGCAUACUGAAGGCGGGGAUUGCGGCUGAUUAGCUAGUUGGAGGGGUAACGGCCCACCAAGGCGAGUAUAAGUCGCCGGGCGGAGAGGAGGAACGGCCAAAUUGGGACUGAGACACGGCCCAGACUCCUACGGGAGGCAGCAGUGGGGAAUCUGCGGCAAUGGACGAAAGUAUGACGGAGCAACGCCGCGGGAGUGAGGACGGCCUUCGGGUUGUAAAGCUCUGUUAAUCGGGACGCGGUACCGGAAUAGAAAGCCACGGCUAACUACGUGCCAGCAGCCGCGGUAAUUC